CUUGAAGGAGCAUCACACAAUUAGUAAUAUUCCAAAGUUUCGUUGCAAAAUGUUGUAAAAUGCGGAAAAUAUAGCCUUGCGAAAUUUGCAAUUUUCAGUCAUUUUAGAUUACAAACGGGAAAUUGACAGCCCCAAACCCUUCGAGGCUGUCAAUUUCCGGUUUGUAAUCUAAAAUGACUGAAAAUUGCAAAUUUCGCAAGGCUAUAUUUUCCGCAUUUUACAACAUUUUGCAGCGAAACUUUGGAAUAUUACUAAUUUUGUGAUGCUCCUUCAAGCUGUAAUGAAAUUUUUGUUGAGAUCAAAAUUUAGUCUAUUACGCAAAUGGUCAAUUA